UAUGGUGUGUGCUAGCCGCCGCGGUAAUACGUAGGGGGCAAGCGUUAUCCGGAUUUACUGGGUGUAAAGGGAGCGUAGACGGCAAGGCAAGUCUGAUGUGAAAACCCAGGGCUUAACCCUGGGACUGCAUUGGAAACUGUCUGGCUCGAGUGCCGGAGAGGUAAGCGGAAUUCCUAGUGUAGCGGUGAAAUGCGUAGAUAUUAGGAAGAACACCAGUGGCGAAGGCGGCUUACUGGACGGUAACUGACGUUGAGGCUCGAAAGCGUGGGGAGCAAACAGG
rnacentral:rRNA from 1 species